rnacentral:rRNA from 1 species
UACGUAGGCAGCGAGCGUUGUUCGGAGUUACUGGGCGUAAAGGGUGUGUAGGCGGUUGUUUAAGUUUGGUGUGAAAUCUCCCGGCUCAACUGGGAGGGUGCGCCGAAUACUGAAUGACUUGGAGUGCGGGAGAGGUGAGUGGAAUUCCUGGUGUAGCGGUGAAAUGCGUAGAUAUCAGGAGGAACACCGGUGGUGUAGACGGCUCACUGGACCGUAACUGACGCCGAGACACGAAAGCGUGGGUAGCAAACAGG